rnacentral:rRNA from 1 species
CCCAACGGGUUAUUAGCUUACAACGGCGAGUGAAGCGGCAAAAGCUCAAAUUUGAAAUCUGGCACCUUCGGUGUCCGAGUUGUAAUUUGAAGAAGGUAACUUUGGAGUUGGCUCUUGUCUAUGUUCCUUGGAACAGGACGUCACAGAGGGUGAGAAUCCCGUGCGAUGAGAUGCCCAAUUCUAUGUAAAGUGCUUUCGAAGAGUCGAGUUGUUUGGGAAUGCAGCUCUAAGUGGGUGGUAAAUUCCAUCUAAAGCUAAAUAUUGGCGAGAGACCGAUAGCGAACAAGUACAGUGAUGGAAAGAUGAAAAGAACUUUGAAAAGAGAGUGAAAAAGUACGUGAAAUUGUUGAAAGGGAAGGGCUUGAGAUCAGACUUGGUAUUUUGCGAUCCUUUCCUUCUUGGUUGGGUUCCUCGCACCUUACUGGGCCAGCAUCGGUUUGGAUGGUAGGAUAAUGACUAAGGAAUGUGGCUCUACUUCGGUGGAGUGUUAUAGCCUUGGUUGAUACUGCCUGUCUAGACCGAGGACUGCGUCUUUUGACUAUGAUGUUGGCAUAAUGAUCUUAAGCCACCCGUCUUGAAACACGGACCAACAAA